UUUACAUCUUCAUAAUCAAGAGAAUAGAAAAAAUUCCCCUAAUUCACAAAACAUAACCACCUUACCUACUAAACGAGUAAUAGUAGAACCACUCUGCUCCAACGCUAACCGAAUUGCUCCAGCCCUUAACUUCAACAAAGAAACGGUCGAUCGAUUUAACAAGAAUCCAUAAAUCAAAAUACACCAGAGUUACGAAACUUACCACCAACGCACGAAAGCAAAAUGAGGAUGACAAAAUGCGGCAACAAAUGUUAAAGAAGGAAUGGACUAAUGGAGAAACCAAAGCAGAGAGAAGAGAAGAAAAAAUUCAACAAGCAGUCGACAACAAACAAAAAAAAAGAAAAUAAAAGUCGGCAAAAGAGGAUUGAAUGAGAAUUUCGACAAGAGUGAAAGAAAAGAAAAUCAAGACUGAAGAGGGAAAUCAGAGAAUUUCGGCAAUAUACAAGGUGACACAUAAAAAAAAUUAGAAUUUGGAAUUGGGGAGAGAAAAAACAAAUUUUCCAAAAUCAGAUAACCCCUCAAUCCCUCAAUCUGCUCCCACACUCCCCCACUACAACUCAAACACCUCAAAACCGUCCACCACUCCUCUCCCUAUCCAAAAUCCCUUAAUUUUCUGUCCUCACUUCCCACUACACCUCUGCCACAUCGGUAUUUUAGCUCCACUCAAACUCUCCACGACGCCACUAGCAAAAAUAUAUCCCCUUUGCUAGUGCAAGGACUUGAACUCUAGACCUCCCAC
rnacentral:lncRNA from 1 species